GGAUUCCCCUAGUAAUGGCGAAUGAAGAGGGAAAAGCCCAAAUUUGUAAUCUGGCUCUUUCAGAGUCCGAGUUGUAAUUUUAAGAACUGUUUUCAGUGCUGGACCAUAUAUAAGUCUGUUGAAAAGCAGCAUCAUAGAAGGUGAUAAUCCUGUUCAUGAUAUGGACUACCAGUGCAAUAUGAUACAGUCUCUAAGAGUCGAGUUGUUUGGGAAUGCAGCUCAAAGUGGGUGGUAAAUUCCAUCUAAGGCUAAAUAUUGAUGAGAGACCGAUAGCAAACAAGUACCGUGAGGGAAAGAUGAAAAGAACUUUGGAAAGAGAGUUAACAGUACGUGAAAUUGUUAAAAGGGAAACAAUUGAAGUUAGACUUGUUAUUGUUAGUUCAACCUUUUUUUGAAGGGAGUAUUCUAAUGAUUAACAGACCAACAUCAAUUUUUGAGUGUUGGAGAAGGGUUUAAGGAAAUGUAGCAGUUUCUGACUGUGUUAUAGUCCUGAGCUUUGAUACAAUGCUUAAGAUUGAGGAAUGCA
rnacentral:rRNA from 1 species